rnacentral:tRNA from 1 species
GGGAAUGUAGCUUAGUGGUAGAGUUCUUGCCUAGCAUGCAUGAAGCCCUGAGUUUGACCUCAGUACCA